rnacentral:rRNA from 1 species
UGGGGAAUCUUGGACAAUGGGGGCAACCCUGAUCCAGCCAUGCCGCGUGAGUGAUGAAGGCCUUAGGGUCGUAAAGCUCUUUCGCCUGUGAAGAUAAUGACGGUAGCCGGAGAAGAAGCCCCGGCUAACUCCGUGCCAGCAGCCGCGGUAAUACGGAGGGGGCUAGCGUUGUUCGGAAUUACUGGGCGUAAAGCGCGCGUAGGCGGACUGAUCAGUCAGGGGUGAAAUCCCGGGGCUCAACCCCGGAACUGCCUUUGAUACUGUCAGUCUUGAGUCCGGAAGAGGCGAGUGGAAUACCGAGUGUAGAGGUGAAAUUCGUAGAUAUUCGGUGGAACACCAGUGGCGAAGGCGACUCGCUGGUCCGGUACUGACGCUGAGGUGCGAAAGCGUGGGGGAGCAAACAGGAUUAGAUACCCUGGUAGUCCACGCCGUAAACGAUGAGUGCUAGUCGUCGGCAGGCAUGCCUGUCGGUGACGCAGCUAACGCAUUAAGCACUCCGCCU